rnacentral:rRNA from 1 species
CAGCAGUAGGGAAUCUUCCACAAUGGACGAAAGUCUGAUGGAGCAACGCCGCGUGUGUGAUGAAGGGUUUCGGCUCGUAAAACACUGUUGUAAGAGAAGAAUGACAUUGAGAGUAACUGUUCAAUGUGUGACGGUAUCUUACCAGAAAGGAACGGCUAAAUACGUGCCAGCAGCCGCGGUAAUACGUAUGUUCCAAGCGUUAUCCGGAUUUAUUGGGCGUAAAGCGAGCGCAGACGGUUAUUUAAGUCUGAAGUGAAAGCCCUCGGCUUAACCGAGGAAUUGCUUUGGAAACUGGAUAACUUGAGUGCAGUAGAGGAAAGUGGAACUCCAUGUGUAGCGGUGAAAUGCGUAGAUAUAUGGAAGAACACCAGUGGCGAAGGCGGCUUUCUGGACUGUAACUGACGUUGAGGCUCGAAAGUGUGGGUAGCAAACAGGAUUAGA